rnacentral:rRNA from 1 species
GACGAACGCUGGCGGCGUGCUUAACACAUGCAAGUCGAGCGGUAAGGCCCUUUCGGGGGUACACGAGCGGCGAACGGGUGAGUAACACGUGGGUGACCUGCCCUCAGCUCUGGGAUAAGCCUGGGAAACCGGGUCUAAUACUGGAUAUGACUCCAUGACGCAUGUUGUGGGGUGGAAAGCCUUGUGCGGCUGAGGAUGGGCCCGCGGCCUAUCAGCUUUGUUGGUGGGGUGAGGCCUACCAAGGCGACGACGGGUAGCCGGCCUGAGAGGGCGACCGGCCACACUGGGACUGAGACACGGCCCAGACUCCUACGGGAGGCAGCAGUGGGGAAUCUUGCGCAAUGGGCGAAAGCCUGACGCAGCGACGCCGCGUGAGGGAUGACGGCCUCGGUUGUAAC